CUUCAUUCGUUGUGACAAGCAUUCCAGCCUUCUCCUAGAGGUAGGAUCAUAGGAUGAUGAUCUGUGAUCCUUGAUGGCAUCAUUCUUCAGGAUCAGGUCCAGCAGAGGUGGACAAAAGCUUCUUCCACCUUCCACCAUUGUUUGGAAGACCAUACCAUGGCUAGUUCCACCUGCCUCUGACUCCGGCCCCAGCCUUCCCAGCUCACCUACCCAAGUCAGCCGCUCUGCCUCUUUCUGCUGCUGAUAGGUCCAGCAAGGACUGAGGACUGAGCUGUCACUCUGGUUGUCCUUAGGGCUUCUGUGGUCAAUAAAUCAUAAUACAGGCAUAAUGAAGACUGCAUCAUGAAAUGCAAUACAAUGACAAUUGAGGGAUUUACAGAUAAAUUUCCUUAUACCUGCUGUUUCAUAUCUGAUACAUACAUUUUUAACAC